UGGUAACUCAGAUGGACUGCGUGUGGGAA
rnacentral:piRNA from 1 species